GUGCCAGCCGCCGCGGUAAUACCGGCAGCCCGAGUGAUGGCCGAUCUUAUUGGGCCUAAAGCGUCCGUAGCUGGCUGCGCAAGUCUCCCGGGAAAUCCACCCGCCCAACGGGUGGGCGUCCGGUAGAAACUGCACAGCUUGGGACCGGAAGGCUCGAAGGGUACGUUCGGGGUAGGAGUGAAAUCCCAUAAUCCCGCACGGACCACCGAUGGCGAAAGCACUUCGAGAAAACGGAUCCGACAGUGAGGGACGAAAGCCAGGGUCUCCAACCGGAUUAGAAACCCGGGUAGUCC
rnacentral:rRNA from 1 species